CCUACGGGAGGCUGCAGUGGGGAAUAUUGCACAAUGGGGGAAACCCUGAUGCAGCGACGCCGCGUGAGUGAAGAAGUAUCUCGGUACGUAAAGCUCUAUCAGCAGGGAAGAAAAUGACGGUACCUGACUAAGAAGCCCCGGCUAACUACGUGCCAGCAGCCGCGGUAAUACGGAGGGGGCAAGCGUUAUCCGGAUUUACUGGGUGUAAAGGGAGCGUAGACGGCAGCACAAGUCUGGAGGGAAAUCCUGGGGCUUAACCCCGGAACUGCUUUUGAAACUGUGCGGCUAGAGUGCAGGAGAGGUAAGUGGAAUUCCUAGUGUAGCGGUGAAAUGCGUAGAUAUUAGGAGGAACACCGGUGGCGAAGGCAGCUUACUGGACUGUAACUGACGUUGAGGCUCGAAAGCGUGGGGAGCAAACAGGAUUAGAUACCCCAGUAGUC
rnacentral:rRNA from 1 species